AUUGAACGCUGGCGGCAUGCCUAACACAUGCAAGUCGAGCGAGUGGCGGACGGGUGAGUAAUGUAUGGGAACCUGCCCAAUAGUGGGGGAUAACUACUGGAAACGUUGGCUAAUACCGCAUAUUAUUGGAUGAACCCAUAUGGGAUUAGCUAGUUGGUGGGGUAAAGGCUCACCUAGGCGACGAUCUCUAGCUGGUCUGAGAGGAUGAUAAGCCAGACUGGGACUGAGACACGGCCCAGACUCCUACGGGAGGCAGCAGUGGGGAAUAUUGAACAAUGGGCGCAAGCCUGAUGCAGCCAUGCCGCGUGGAUGAAGAAGGCCUUCGGGUUGUAAAGGACUUUCGGCGGGGAGGCGUUACCCGCAGAAGAAGCACCGGCUAACUACGUGCCAGCAGCCGCGGUAAUAC
rnacentral:rRNA from 1 species